rnacentral:tRNA from 13 species
CGCCCGACGUGGAGCUUCAACCCACGACCUCAAGAUUAAGAGUCUCGUGCUCUAUCGACUGAGCUAGCCGGGC